rnacentral:rRNA from 1 species
AGGAAAGUAGGGGAUCGCAAGACCUUGNCGCUUUUGGAGCGGCCGAUGUCUUGAUUAGCUAGUUGGUGAGGUAAAGGCUUACCAAGGCUUCGAUCAGUAGCUGGUCUGAGAGGACGACCAGCCACACUGGGACUGAGACACGGCCCAGACUCCUACGGGAGGCAGCAGUGGGGAAUUUUGGACAAUGGGGGAAACCCUGAUCCAGCCAUGCCGCGUGAGUGAAGAAGGCCUUCGGGUUGUAAAGCUCUUUCAGCCGGAACGAAAAGGUUACGGUUAAUACCCGUGACUAAUGACGGUACCGGAAGAAGAAGCACCGGCUAACUACGUGCCAGCAGCCGCGGUAAUACGUAGGGUGCGAGCGUUAAUCGGAAUUACUGGGCGUAAAGCGUGCGCAGGCGGUUUUGUAAGUCAGAUGUGAAAUCCCCGGGCUCAACCUGGGAACUGCGUUUGAAACUACAAAGCU